GGCUUAGAGUUUGAUCAUGGCUCAGGAUAAACGCUGGCGGCGCACAUAAGACAUGCAAGUCGAACGGACAGAAGCACAUUCUUUUAGAUUGAGUGGAUGUUAGUGGCGGACUGGUGAGUAACGCGUAAGGAACCUACCUUUUAGAGGGGAAUAACAAUGAGAAAUCAUUGCUAAUACCGCAUAUGCCAUAGCUAUUGCAUGACAGCAGUGGGAAAGGAGCAAUCCGCUAGAAGAUGGCCUUGCGUCUGAUUAGCUAGUUGGUGGGGUAAAGGCCUACCAAGGCGACGAUCAGUAGCCGGACUGAGAGGUUGAACGGCCACAUUGGGACUGAGAUACGGCCCAGACUCCUACGGGAGGCAGCAGUCGGGAAUAUUGCGCAAUGGAGGAAACUCUGACGCAGUGACGCCGCGUAUAGGAAGAAGGUUUUCGGAUUGUAAACUAUUGUCGUUAGGGAAGAGAAAGGACAGUACCUAAGGAGGAAGCUCCGGCUAACUACGUGCCAGCAGCCGCGGUAAUACGUAGGGAGCGAGCGUUAUCCGGAAUUAUUGGGUGUAAAGGGUGCGUAGACGGGAUAACAAGUUAGUUGUGAAAUCCCUCGGCUUAACUGAGGAACUGCAACUAAAACUAUUAUUCUUGAGUGCAGGAGAGGUAAGUGGAAUUCCUAGUGUAGCGGUGAAAUGCGUAGAUAUUAGGAGGAACACCGGUGGCGAAGGCGACUUACUGGACUGUAACUGACGUUGAGGCACGAAAGUGUGGGGAGCAAACAGGAUUAGAUACCCUGGUAGUCCACACUGUAAACGAUGGAUACUAGGUGUAGGGGGUAUUAAGACUUCUGUGCCGUCGCAAACGCAGUAAGUAUCCCACCUGGGGAGUACGGC
rnacentral:rRNA from 1 species